rnacentral:rRNA from 1 species
UACGGAGGGGGCUAGCGUUGUUCGGAAUUACUGGGCGUAAAGCGCACGUAGGCGGCUUUGUAAGUUAGAGGUGAAAGCCUGGGGCUCAACUCCAGAAUUGCCUUUAAGACUGCAUCGCUAGAAUUGUGGAGAGGUAAGUGGAAUUCCGAGUGUAGAGGUGAAAUUCGUAGAUAUUCGGAAGAACACCAGUGGCGAAGGCGACUUACUGGACACAUAUUGACGCUGAGGUGCGAAAGCGUGGGGAGCAAACAGG